AACAAGGAUUCCCCUAGUAACGGCGAGUGAAGAGGGAAGAGCUCAAAUUUGAAAGCUGGUACCUUCGGUAUCCGCGUUGUAACCUCGAGACACGUUUUCCGUGCGGCGCUAUGGACAAGUUCCUUGGAACAGGACAUCGUAGAGGGUGAAAAUCCCGUACUUGCCAUGGAUGUACCGUGCUUUGCGAUACGUGCUCUAAGAGUCGAGUUGUUUGGGAUUGCAGCUCAAAAUGGGUGGUAGACUCCAUCUAAAGCUAAAUAUCGGGGAGAGACCGAUAGCGAACAAGUACCGUGAGGGAAAGAUGAAAAGCACUUUGGAAAGAGAGUUAAAAGUACGUGAAAUUGUCGAAAGGGAAGCGCUUGAAGUCAGCCAUGCCGCUCAGGACUCAGCCUGGCUUUUGCUUGGUGUAUUUCCUGGGUAGCAAGUCAGCAUUGGUUUGGAUCGUCGGAGAAGCAUAGUCGGAAUGUGGCGCCCUCGGGCGUGUUAUAGCCUUCUAUUGGAUACGACGAUCUAGACCAAGGAACGCAGCGCGCCUUAUGGCGGGUCUUCGGACACCUCG
rnacentral:rRNA from 1 species